AUACUUACCUGACAGGGGAGAUACCAUGGUCAUGAAGGUGGUUUUCCCAGGGUGAGGCUUAUCCACUGCACUACAGAUAUGCUAACCUCUGUGAUUUCCCCAAAUGUGGAAACUUGAUUGCAUAAUUUGUGGUCAUGGGGGACUGUGUUCAUGCUUUCCCUUA